rnacentral:rRNA from 1 species
CCUACGGGGGGCAGCAGUGGGGGAUCUUUCACAAUGGGGGAAACCCUGAUGCAGCAACGCCGCGUGAGUGAAGAAGGAUUUCGGUAUGUAAAGUGCUAUCAGCAGGGAGGAGAAUGACGGUACCUUACUAAGAAGCACCGGCUAACUACGUGCCAGCAGCCGCGGUAAUACGUAGGGGGCGAGCGUUAUCCGGAUUUACUGGGUGUAAAGGGAGCGUAGACGGCUGAUAAAGUUUGAGGUGAAAGCCUGGGCUUUAACACCGAGACGCCUUUGGAAACUGAGCAGCUAGAGUGCGGGAGAGGUAAGCGGAAUUCCUAGUGUAGCGGUGAAAUGCGUAGAUAUUAGGAGGAACACCAGUGGCGAAGGCGGCUUACUGGACAGUAACUGACGUUGAGGCUCGAAAGCGUAGGGAGCAAACAGGAUUAGAUACCCGAGUAGUC